rnacentral:lncRNA from 1 species
GGUUGGAGGCUGACAUGGUUAACUGUGAGAGUAGAAGAUUCAAGUUAGACAAUUAUACUCAAUUUUAAAAUUUAUUUUGGAAAUUUUAAGAAACAAAUUAAACUCUCACUAUUCUCACAGAUCUCUCACACUGCUCCAUGACUAAGGUUCCUAGUAGAUACUAUGGUUCCAUCGAUAUGCAUGCUCUUAUCGUGUCCGAUUAUUGGACCAC